rnacentral:rRNA from 1 species
UACGUAGGGAGCAAGCGUUGUCCGGAAUCAUUGGGCGUAAAGCGCGCGUAGGCGGCCCUGUAAGUCCGUUGUGAAAGUCAAAGGCUCAACCUUUGAAAGCCGAUGGAUACUGCAGGGCUAGAGUCCGGAAGAGGCGAGUGGAAUUCCUGGUGUAGCGGUGGAAUGCGCAGAUAUCAGGAGGAACACCCGUGGCGAAAGCGGCUCUCUGGGACGGUACUGACGCUGAGACGCGAAAGCGUGGGGAGCAAACAGG